rnacentral:rRNA from 1 species
UACAGAGGUCUCAAGCGUUGUUCGGAUUCAUUGGGCGUAAAGGGCUCGCAGGUGGUCCGUCGCGUCGUGCGUGAAAGCCCCCGGAUCAACUGGGGAGUGUCGUGCGAUACGGGCGGACUGGAGGCCAGUAGGGGGAUGCGGAAUUCCGGGUGUAGUGGUGGAAUGCGUAGAGAUCCGGAGGAACACCAGCGGCGAAGGCGGCAUCCUGGACUGGUCCUGACACUCAUGAGCGAAAGCGUGGGGAGCGAUCCGG